GAUGAACGCUGGCGGCGUGCUUAAUACAUGCAAGUCGAACGAUGAAGCGCAGCUUGCUGUGUGGAUGAGUGGCGAACGAGUGAGUAACACGUGAGUAACUUGCCCGUAACUCUGGGAUAGGCCUGUGUAACUAGGGCUAAUACCGAAUAGAAGCGUACACCGCAUGGUGGGUGUUUGAAAGAUUUAUCGGUUUUGGUUGGACUCGCGGCCUCGUAGCUUGUUGGUGAUGUUAGGGCACAUCAAGGCGAAGCCGGGUAGCCGGCCUGAGCGGGUGACCGGCCCCACUGGGACUGAGACACGGGCCAGACUCCUUCGGGAGGCAGCAGUGGGGAAUAUUGCACAAUGGGCGAAAGCCGGAUGCAGCGUCGCCGCGUCAGAGAUGACGGCCGUCGGGUUGUAACCCGUUUUCAGUAGGGAAGAAGAGAAAGUGACGGUACCUGCCGAAGAAGCAACGGCUAACUACGUG
rnacentral:rRNA from 1 species